rnacentral:rRNA from 1 species
AUAAAGGUUGGUUUCUCGAGCGGAGAAGAACCACAGGGAUUGCCUCAGUAACGGCGAGUGAAGCGGCAAGAGCUCAAAUUUGAAAGCUGGCUCCUCCGGGGUCCGCACCGUAACCCGCAGAGGAGGCCCUGGGAGCGGCUCUUACCUAAGCGCCCCGGAACGGGCCGUCACAGAGGGUGAAAACCCCGUCUGGGACGGGGUGUUCGCGCCCGUGUGAAGCCUCUUUGACGAGUCGAGUCGUCUGGGAGUGCAGCCUCAAAUGGGUGGUAAACCUCAUCUAAAGCUAAAUAUUGGCCGGAGACCGAUAGCGCACAAGUAGAGUGAUCGAAAGAUGAAAAGCACCCUGAAAAGAGAGUUAAACAGCACGUGAAAUUUGUUGAAAGGGAAGCGCCUGCGACCAGACUCGCCCACGGGGUUCAGCCGGCAUUUCGUGCCGGUGUACCUUCCCCGCGGGCGGGCCAGCCGUCCGGUUUGGGGCGGCCGGUCAAAGGCCCUCGGGAAUGUAACGCCCCCCCGGGGCGUCUUAUAAGCCGAGGGUGCCAUGCGGCCAGCCCAGACCGAGGAACGCGCUUUCGGCUCGGACGCUGGCAUAUUGGUCGAAGCCUCUCUUUUUUUUU